rnacentral:rRNA from 1 species
GGCUCAGUAGGUUGGUCGUGCCACCGGUACGUACUGGUCUCACUGAUUCCUCCUUCCUGAAGAACCGUAAUGCCAUUAAUUUGGUGUUGCGGGGAAACAGGACUGUUACUUUGAAAAAAUUAGUCUGUUUAAAGCAAGCUAACGCUUGAAUACAUUAGCAUGGAAUAAUGAAAUAGUACGAUCGAUCCUAUUUUGUUGGUUUCUAGGAUUGACGUA